GACGAACGCUGGCGGCGUGCCUAACACAUGCAAGUCGAGCGGAGUCGAUCGACGGAAGCCUUCGGGCGGAAGAUGGUUGACUUAGCGGCGGAUGGGUGAGUAACGCGUGGGCAACCUGCCUCGAAGACCGGGAUAACAGCCCGAAAGGGCUGCUAAUACCGGAUGUGGUCAAGGAUCCGCAUGGAUUUUUGAUUAAAGGGGAAACCCGUUUCGAGAUGGGCCCGCGUCCUAUCAGCUAGUUGGUGAGGUAAAAGCUCACCAAGGCGACGACGGGUAGCCGGCCUGAGAGGGUGACCGGCCACACUGGAACUGAGACACGGUCCAGACUCCUACGGGGGCAGCAGUGGGGAAUCUUCCACAAUGGGCGAAAGCCUGAUGGAGCGACGCCGCGUGAGCGAAGAAGGCCUUCGGGUUGUAAAGCUCUGUCUGGAGGGACGAAGGAAGUGACGGUACCUCCGGAGGAAGCCACGGCUAACUACGUGCCAGCAGCCGCGGUAAGGAGUAGUACA
rnacentral:rRNA from 1 species